GAUAAAUCUUCAUCUACGCCAAUAAAAGGGUUUGAGGCUGAUCUAGUUUUAAAAGAUCACACACCGGUGUUUAAGCGUGCUUAUGACGUUCCAUUCAGAUUAAAAGAUAAAGUUUUAGAACAUUUAAGUAGUUUAGAAAAAGAUGGCGUCAUAACACCAAUAGAUGCAAGUGAAUGGGCAUCUCCGGUAAUAGUUGUGGUGAAAAAAGACAAUGGUAUUAGGAUGGUCAUUGAUUGUAAAGUUUCAAUCAACAAAGUUUUGAUCCCUAAUACAUAUCCGUUACCAUUAACUCAGGUUUUGUUUGCCUCGUUGGCUGGCGCUAAAGUUUUCUGUUCUCUUGAUCUGGCUGGCGCGUAUACACAGUUAUUAUUAUCUAAAAGUCUAGGAAAAUAAUGGUGAUAAAUACAAUCAAAGGUUUGUUUACGUAUAAUCGUUUGCCACAAGGUGCUUCUUCUAGUGCAGCUAUAUUCCAACGGAUCAUGGAUCAAGUUUUGAAAAAUAUCGACGGAGUUUACGUUUACUUAGAUGAUGUUUUGAUAGCAGGCAAGGACAAAGAAGACUGUGCGCGAAAGCUUAAUGUGGUUUUAGAACGUUUGUCUAAAGCCAACAUUAAAGUCAAUUUGCAGAAAUGCAAGUGGUUUGUUUCGAGUUUGCCGUUUCUAGGACAUGUUUUGAGCGACAGAGGAUUGUUGCCUAGUCCAGAAAAGGUCGAGACUAUUCGGAGAGCUAGUAUUCCGAAUAACGUCUCUGAGCUUAAGGCAUUUUUGGGUUUAGUGAAUUACUAUGGUAAAUUUCUACCCAAUUUGUCCGCACGCCUUAGCUGUCUGUAUCGUUUAUUAAAGAAAGACGUUAAGUUUGUCUGGAAUGCUGAGUGUAGUCGAGUGUUUGAAAGCUGUAAGCAAGCGUUGUUGAGCUCAAAGCUUUUAGAGUUUUAUGAUCCGAAUAAGCCUGUUGUCGUUGUAACAGAUGCUUGUAGUUAUGGGUUAGGUGGAGUAAUAGCACAUCAAAUCAAUGGAGAAGAGAGGCCCAUUAGUUUCCUACCCAAUUUUGCACUUAGAAGCUUUAGCAGUUGUGAGCACCUUUCUUGUUUGGAAAGAAGUUUACUGUGUAUACUGAUCAUAAGCCGUUGAUUGGCAUUUUCGGUAAAGAAGGCAAGAAUACUUUUUUUGUGACGCGUUUACAAAGAUAUGUACUUGAACUGAGUAUUUACGAUUUCGACAUUGUUCAUAGACCGUCAACAAAAAUGGGCAACGCAGAUUUUUGCUCAAGGUUUCCUUUGCCAGAAAAUGUACCAGCUUCUUUACAAAGAGAGUUUAUCAAGAGAUUAAAUGUUUCGAAUGAGUUUCCGAUAGAUUAUGCUUUGAUUGCAAUUGAGACAAAGAAAGACAAGUUUUUGCAACAAAUAGUUUAUUACAUGAAGCAUGGUUGGCCGCAGAAGUUGGAUCGAAUGUUUUUGGAUGUUUAUGCACAGCACCAAGAUUUAGAACAAGUAGAAGAAUGUUUACUGUAUCAGGAUCGUGUCAUUAUACCUGCAAGUUUACAAAAACAGAUCCUGAAAUUGUUACAUAAAAGCCAUUCCGGAAUAACCAAAAUUAAGCAAAUGGCAAGAAGGACAGUUUAUUGGUACGGCAUGAAUAGUGACAUUGAAAGUUUCGUCAAAUCAUGCAGAGUGUGUUGCCAAAUGAAUGUUGUUCCGAAGCAAGCUCCGUACUCUAACUGGAUUCCAACAACAAAACCGUUUACCCGCAUUCAUGCGGACUUCUUUCAUUUCGACAAAAAAGUUUUUCUGGUCAUUGUUGACAGUUUUUCAAAAUGGCUCGAGGUUGAGUACAUGAAGUUUAGUACUGAUGCCAGGAGUGUCAAGUCGAAGUUUAUCAGCGUUUUUCCAAGGUUUGGGUUACCGGACGUAGUAGUUACGGACGGCGGACCACCGUUUAAUCGACGACACGACCUGCCACUCGUCUAUCAAAACUGUAUCGUAAAUUUAACUACCCCUCAGUAACUGGAAAUGUCAAAUCGAAAACGCUAGUGAAUUUUUUUAAACUGGCAGCACAAGUUGAUAUAUUUAUUGAUUUUGAAUAACAGUCACCAUAACCUUGGUUACUGCAUAUCGAAGGCAAGAUGAAUGUAAACAAAAUAAAUUUCAGAUCGGUUAUGAUAUUACGGAACAUUUUAAUGGAUUUACCUGACUCGAGCGGAAUGUAAAAAUUGAGGAGUAUGAGUUAUGUCUUUUAUAAAGCCAAGUUCAAAAUUCAGGUCUUGACUUGAAACCGUUGUGUGAGAAGGAAGACAUGGAAAUAACCGACAACGAGCUGAGCGAGGCUAGUUCUCUGCGGUACCUGCAUAACGUACGGUAAAAUGAUUUCUUUGUGGAAUUCCACUAGUAAUCCUCGAAUAGUGGCCAACAAGGUGAAAUACUGUUUCCACUGCUGCGCAAUCAAUCAACAAUUUUGACACCGGCAUAUUACACCGAAUCCUAUUGCCCAGAAAAGCUAGCGGUUGAAGUGUACGGAUGAAUCGCUGGAAGCAGAUCAUAGUCCUCGUUCGUUGGUUUCAGCCAUAGUUUCGAUUAAAUUCUGAAAAUCGAGUUCAUUUAAAUGCAUUUCUGCUUAAUUUGGACAAAGUUUAACCGACGACACGACCUGCCACUCGACUAUUAAAACUGUAUCGCAAAUUUAACUACCCCUCAGUAACUGGUAAUGUCAAAACGAAAUCGCUUGAAAAAAUGUUGGAACUGGCAACACAAGUUGGUAAAUUAUUGAUUUUGAAAAACAGUUACCAGUAGCCUUGGUAACUACAUAAGAAAUGUAAACAAAAACAAGAGAUUCUCACUUAAAACGAAACCACUGAGUGUAGUUGGCCCGCUGGCAGAACAUUUUCGUCGCUGCCACAGAGAGGAAGGCUUUCAUCAUUUCAUAUUCAUAGCUAGAAAGUUGUAUUGUCGGGUGGUAGUGAAUGAUUUGCCUAUGGGUACAUUUACAGCGCGCAACUGUGUUUGGAACUCAAAAUAAUGCGAAUUAGGAACAUAAAAAAAUUGUUUUAUGCAACUAUUGUAAACAAUGUUUUUUAUUGAAAACAGUUUACUCGUAGUAAAAGGACAUACAAACGAAAAUAAAAAUAACAUGAUAUUGAAAGAAUCGGUUGUCUUUUUCUGACAAAAUCAAAAUGAAAAUAAUUAUUUAAAAGCAAAAGUUAUUAAAGCAUGAAAUAAAAAUACAUAUAUUUUGAAAAUAAUUCAAGAAUAUCUUAAUUUUUUUUUACCACUAGCGUUUUUGAGAAGUCGAAAGUGUUUCUCACUGCAAUUUAUUGUUAAUUUCGUUUGGUAUUCCGUGGACAUGUCUUACGACCGUCAGAAAUGAAGUGAACAAUCAACUAAAUUAUGUAUAUCCAAACUAUUUAUCUACCAUCUGGUUUAAAUUUACAUAUUACUGUUCGUAGGAAACGAAUAGAAAGAUACUGGAUCUCCUUCACGACUGAAACACACAGCAACGCAACAACGUCUUCCCAUUAUCGAAAAUAUUUUCCUGACCUAUCAAAACUAAUCAUUGCAUGCUGCCACUGUAAUUCUCUAUGACUAACAAAAUACAUAUUUAAAAAUGAAAGAAAAAAAAACAUGGUAACUAUCACAUAGCAAUUAGUCAACAAACUAGAAGAUUAUGCUACAAAAAGAAUUAUGAAUAUUCGGACUUCUGUGUAUAAUAUAACAAGAUCAUUGUAUAAUUUAGAAAAUGUAAAUAUAUUUUCUACAUAGAUACGGUAAUUACGGUAUACGAUCAAAACCUACGUAGUAAUUAUUAAUUGUAUAUAAUAAGAAAAACAGUGGAAGUAAUCAUCUUAAAACCGCUUUAGUUUCCGUGCAAAAUGUCGCAUUUCCUCACUCUGGCUGGUUUGGUAACCGUGGAACUGCAGGAUAAUGACUUGUUAAACUGCUCUAUUUGUUUGCCCAUGUCCAGAAGCAUUUUCGAAGUCGGCGAAAGAAUGUUAACUGCAAAUAGAAAAUUUUUAUUUAAUAAUAAAAUUCAAGCACUCACCUGCACUCAGCUUCAUCAUAAUUUGCAUCGAUGAUGAUUAAAAUUAUUUAGUUGCUCUCCGGAAUUCACUAAAUAACCGGAAAAGACACAAAAAUAAAGACGGUGGAAUUAUUCCACAACAAUUUUAAACUGUUUGUUUAUUUAUUCUGGUGCUCCUUGGUAACUAGUUCAUAGCAACCUAAACAGUGUUGCUCGAAAAGUUAGUUUUUGUCAUUUUCAAGGGGUCGCUAUAUUUAUGGUAACUGGUGGUAAAUCGCUCACGAACACUUUUUAUUCCGAUUUUUCUUCGGAGUGUCUGGUCGUGUCGUCGGUUUAACACUAAUAGAACUAUUCCACCGCUUUCAAAACAUGUUUAUUUGUUUUGGAGUUCCUUGGUAACUAGUCCAUAGCAACUUAAACAGUGUUGCUCGAGAAGAUUAUUUUUAUCAUUUACAAGGGGUCGCUAGAUUUGUGGUAACUGACCGUGAAUCGUUAGCGAACAGUUUUAUUGCUGAAUUUUCUUCGGAGUGUCUGGUCGUGUCGUCGGUUUAAUUCCAAAGAAUUUAUUGAUUUUUUACAGAAACACAACAUAAAGGCGAUGAAGAGUCCACCGUAUAAUCCAUCGAGCAAUGGACAAGCAGAACGUAUGGUUUCCGUUGGAGGUCGGGUGUAUCUGGCGCACCGCAAUCAACUCAAGGUGUUUGGCACUAACAAGAAAAGGUAUGGUUUGUUUUUUGCGAGGGGAAAGGAGAGCAGUCCAGCACGUAAACGAAGUAGAGAAGACGAUAACGACGAGAGCUUUGACGACGAUGCUAGCGACUUUCUCGGUUUCGCAGCGGAUUCGUUUAUUUACCGAGACACACCUGACGAUCAACCAAUGGUUUGUGAUUCGGAUGGUGGUGGUUCGGGUAGCAGUAGUUUACCGCUUGAGGAGGUUGAUCCUCAAGAAGGCACGUCUACGCGACAGUGGUCGCGAUCGAAACAAACGAGUUCGGCGGAAAGUUCGAGUCAUCAGUCCGUCAGUUUACGUCGUUCGAGGAGAUCGAAGCGUCCUCGGAAAGAUCCCGAUUUCGUGUUUUAU